AUGGCUUUAAGUCUUCUAGCUUGGAACACUGGUCUGGGGCCCGAGAAGACCUCCUUCUUCCAGGCUUUAGGCAUCACCACUAAAAUCUCCAGAGGCACCAUUGAAAUCCUGAGUGAUGUGCAGCUGAUUAAGACCGGAGACAAAGUGGGAGCCAGCGAAGCCACACUGCUGAACAUGCUGAACAUCUCCCCCUUCUCCUUUGGGCUGAUCAUCCAGCAGGUGUUUGACAAUGGCAGCAUCUACAACCCUGAAGUGCUUGACAUCACAGAGGAGACUUUGCAUUCUCGCUUCCUGGAGGGUGUCCACAAUGUUGCCAGCGUAUGUCUGCAGAUAGUUUACCCGACUGUUGGCAUCAGUGCCCCAUUCUAUCAUCAAUGGAUACAAGCGGGUCCUGGCUUUGUCUGUGGAGACUGAUUACACCUUCUCACUUGCUGAAAAGGUCAAGGCCUUCUUGGCUGAUCCAUCUGCGUUUGUGGCCGCUGCCCCCACUUCUGCACCUGCUGCCACCACGGCCCCAGCCAAGGUUGAAGCAAAGGAGGAGUCGGAGGAGUCAGACGAGGAUAUGGGAUUUGGUCUCUUCGACUAAUCACCAAAAAGCAACCAAUUCAGCCAAGUUUAUUUGUGAAACAAGGAAAUAAAGGCUU